rnacentral:rRNA from 1 species
UUCCAGACUCCUACGGGAGGCAGCAGUGAGGAAUAUUGGUCAAUGGGCGAGAGCCUGAACCAGCCAAGUCGCGUGAGGGAAGACGGUCCUAUGGAUUGUAAACCCCUUUUGCCGGGGAGCAAAAAGCGGUACGUGUACCGCAUCGAGAGUACCCGGAGAAAAAGCAUCGGCUAACUCCGUGCCAGCAGCCGCGGUAAUACGGAGGAUGCGAGCGUUAUCUGGAUUUAUUGGGUUUAAAGGGUGCGUAGGCGGAAUGCCAAGUCAGCGGUAAAAUCGCGGGGCUCAACCUCGCUCCGCCGUUGAAACUGCAUCCCUUGAGUGCGCGAGAAGUAUGCGGAAUGCGUGGUGUAGCGGUGAAAUGCAUAGAUAUCACGCAGAACUCCGAUUGCGAAGGCAGCAUACCGGCGCCCAACUGACGCUGAAGCACGAAAGCGUGGGUAUCGAACAGGAUUAGAUACCCGAGUA